UGCUCCUGUUGGAAGGGAUAUUCUGCAUGUAAAUGGCAGAGAUACUCUGGUUCACUCAAAUGUAUUGUUCCUGAAAGAAAGGAAGUGGUCUGCAGAGAAGAUACUCUGCUAGAAGAUUCCUCUGUGAGGCUGCUAGUACUUCUCCAGCAGACCAAGCCAGGAGAGCUUUCUCAAAGAUUCUACCAGAUUUUCCAGGGGUUCUCAAAGAUUGUCUGCAGUCCAGCGCUGAUAAAUGAUUGCAGCUUCUUGA